AACGCAUAUUGCACUCUAUUUCUAUAGAGUAUGCCUGUUUGAGAAUCUAUAGUAUUCAUUUUAUAUAAUUUACUGAUUUUUAUCAGUUUUUUAUAUAAAGAUUUGAAGUUUCCAUUAUUUAUUUAAUGGUACUUUUAAAACUAUAGCUUUUUAUAAUAUAGUAACGUUUGAGUUUUUAUUAUAACGAGUUGAAAAGUAUUCGAAUGAAACCUAGUUUCUUACUUAUGCCUAUUAAAUUUGUACUGAUAUUAACGAGUUAUUAUAAUAUUAAAAAGUUCAUAAACCAUAUAAAAUUAUUUAUAAUUUUGAACCAUGGUCUCAAAUCAGGUAGGAAGACCCGCUGAACUUAA
rnacentral:misc_RNA from 1 species